rnacentral:rRNA from 1 species
UACGUAGGGUGCGAGCGUUAAUCGGAAUUACUGGGCGUAAAGCGUGCGCAGGCGGCGCGUUAAGACAGGUGUGAAAGCCCCGAGCUUAACUUGGGAAUUGCGCUUGUGACUGGCGUGCUGGAGUGUGGCAGAGGGAGGUGGAAUUCCCAGUGUAGAGGUGAAAUUCGUAGAUAUUGGGAAGAACACCGAUGGCGAAGGCAGCCAUCUGGACCGACACUGACGCUGAGGCGCGAAAGCGUGGGGAGCAACAGG